rnacentral:rRNA from 2 species
GGCCCAGACUCCUACGGGAGGCAGCAGUAGGGAAUCUUCCGCAAUGGACGAAAGUCUGACGGAGCAACGCCGCGUGAGUGAUGAAGGCUUUCGGGUCGUAAAACUCUGUUGUUAGGGAAGAACAAGUACGAGAGUAACUGCUCGUACCUUGACGGUACCUAACCAGAAAGCCACGGCUAACUACGUGCCAGCAGCCGCGGUAAUACGUAGGUGGCAAGCGUUAUCCGGAAUUAUUGGGCGUAAAGCGCGCGCAGGCGGUUUCUUAAGUCUGAUGUGAAAGCCCACGGCUCAACCGUGGAGGGUCAUUGGAAACUGGGGAACUUGAGUGCAGAAGAGAAAAGCGGAAUUUCCACGUGUAGCGGUGAAAUGCGUAGAGAUGUGGAGGAACACCAGUGGCGAAGGCGGCUUUUUGGUCUGUAACUGACGCUGAGGCGCGAAAGCGUGGGGAGCAAACAGGAUUAGAUACCCUGGUAGUCCACG